rnacentral:rRNA from 1 species
CAUUAUACAGCGAAACUGCGAAUGGCUCAUUAUAUAAGUUAUCGUUUAUUUGAUAGUGCCUUACUACUUGGAUAACCGUGGUAAUUCUAGAGCUAAUACAUGCUGAAAGCCCCGACUCACGGAGGGGCGUAUUUAUUAGAUUAAAAACCAAUGCCCUUCGGGGCUCCUUGGUGAUUCAUGAUAACUUCUCGAAUCGCACGGCCUUGCGCCGGCGAUGGUUCAUUCAAAUUUCUUCCCUAUCAACUUUCGAUGUUUGGGUAGUGGCCAAACAUGGUGGCAACGGGUAACGGAGGGUUAGGGCUCGACCCCGGAGAAGGAGCCUGAGAAACGGCUCCUACAUCCAAGGAAGGCAGCAGGCGCGCAAAUUACCCAAUCCCGACUCGGGGAGGUAGUGACAAUAAAUACUGAUGCAGGGCUCUUUAGGGUCUUGCAAUUGGAAUGAGUACAAUUUAAAUCCCUUAACGAGGAACAAUUGGAGGGCAAGUCUGGUGCCAGCAGCCGCGGUAACUCCAGCUCCAAUAGCGUAUAUUAAAGUUGUUGUGGUUAAAAAGCUCGUAGUUGAACCUUGGGCCUGGCCGUCCGGUCCGCCUCACCGCGUGCACUGGCACGGCCGGGCCUUCCCACCGCGGAAUCGCAUGCCCUUUACUGGGCGUGUCGGGGAAGCGGUACUUUUACUGUGAAAAAAUUAGAGUGCUCUAAGCAGGCCUAUGCUCGAAUACAUUAGCAUGGAAUAAUAGAAUAGGACAGGCGUUCUAUUUUGUUGGUUUCUAGGACGUCUGUAAUGAUUAACAGAAACAAUCGGGGGCGUCAGUAUUGCAUCGUCAGAGGUGAAAUUCUUAGAUCGACGCAAGACUAACUACUGCGAAAGCAUUCGCCAAGGGUGUUUUCAUUAAUCAGGAACGAAAGUUAGGGGAUCGAAGACGAUCAGAUACCGUCGUAGUCUUAACCAUAAACUAUGCCGACUAGGGAUCGGGCGGUGUUAAUUUUUGACCCGCUCGGCACCUUACGAGAAAUCUUAAGUGCUGG